rnacentral:rRNA from 2 species
GUGAGUCAUCGAAUCUUUGAACGCACCUUGCGCUCCUUGGUAUUCCGAGGAGCACGCCUGUUCGAGUGUCGUGAAUUCUCAAGCUGGAUAGCUUUAUUGUUAUCUCAGUUUGGUUUUGGGCUUUGCCGUCUCCUCUUUUGUGAACGGCUGGCCUUAAAAGUAUUAGCUGACCCUUGUUUGUGGGAUUGGUUCUACUCAGCGUGAUAAUUUAUGACCGCUGAGGACAUCUUUCGGGAUGGCCAGCUCUGCCUUGGAUCGCUUCUAAUCCUGGUAUUUGGAGUCCGCUCCUUAUCCUUAACUUUUUCAACUUUGACCUCGAAUCAGGUGGGACUACCCGCUGAACUUAAGCAUAUCAAUAAGCGGAGG